CCUACGGUGGGCUGCAGUGAGGAAUAUUGGUCAAUGGGCGCAAGCCUGAACCAGCCAAGUCGCGUGAGGGAUGACGGUCCUAUGGAUUGUAAACCUCUUUUGUCGGGGAGCAAGGCCCGCCACGUGUGGCGGGAAGGAGAGUACCCGAAGAAAAAGCAUCGGCUAACUCCGUGCCAGCAGCCGCGGUAAUACGGAGGAUGCGAGCGUUAUCCGGAUUUAUUGGGUUUAAAGGGUGCGUAGGCGGACGCUUAAGUCAGCGGUAAAAUUGCGGGGCUCAACCUCGUCGAGCCGUUGAAACUGGGUGCCUUGAGUGGGCGGGAAGUACGCGGAAUGCGUGGUGUAGCGGUGAAAUGCAUAGAUAUCACGCAGAACUCCGAUUGCGAAGGCAGCGUACCGGCGCCCAACUGACGCUGAAGCACGAAGGCGUGGGUAUCGAACAGGAUUAGAUACCCCGGUAGUC
rnacentral:rRNA from 1 species